UAAUUAUAACAGGGGAGCUUGUAGGCAGGCUGAGAGGAAGUAAUCAACUUCGACCCAUGAACCUGAUUUGGAUAAUGCCAACGUAGGAAGAAAUCAAUUUUAAGAU
rfam:Eubacterium ventriosum ATCC 27560 Scfld0222 genomic scaffold, whole genome shotgun sequence.